rnacentral:rRNA from 1 species
GACGAACGCUGGCGGCGUGCUUAACACAUGCAAGUCGAACGGAAAGGCCCUGCUUUUGUGGGGUGCUCGAGUGGCGACCGGGUGAGUAACACGUGAGUAACCUGCCCUUGACUUUGGGAUAACUUCAGGAAACUGGGGCUAAUACCGGAUAGGAGCUCCUGCUGCAUGGUGGGGGUUGGAUAGUUUCGGCGGUUGGGGAUGGACUCGCGGCGUAUCAGCUUGUUGGUGGGGUAGUGGCUUACCAAGGCUUUGACGGGUAGCCGGCCUGAGAGGGUGACCGGCCACAUUGGGACUGGGAUGCGGCCCAGACUCCUACGGGAGGCAGCGGUGGGGAAUAUUGCAUAAUGGGCUGAAGCCUGAUGCAGCCACGCCGCGUGCGGGAUGUCGGCCUUCGGUUUGUAAUCCGCUUUCGCCUGUGACGAAGCGUGAGUGACGGUAAUGGGUAAAGAAGCACCGGCUAACUACGUG